rnacentral:rRNA from 1 species
UACGUAGGUGGCAAGCGUUGUCCGGAUUUACUGUGUGUAAAGGGCGUGCAGCCGGAGAGACAAGUCAGAUGUGAAAUCCACGGGCUCAACCCGUGAACUGCAUUUGAAACUGUUUCCCUUGAGUGUCGGAGAGGUAAUCGGAAUUCCUUGUGUAGCGGUGAAAUGCGUAGAUAUAAGGAAGAACACCAGUGGCGAAGGCGGAUUACUGGACGAUAACUGACGGUGAGGCGCGAAAGCGUGGGGAGCAAACAGG